rnacentral:rRNA from 1 species
UACGUAGGGGGCAAGCGUUGUCCGGAUUUAUUGGGCGUAAAGAGCGUGUAGGCGGUUAGGUAGGUCCGGUGUGAAAACUCGAGGCUCAACCUCGAGACGCCGAUGGAAACCAUCUGACUAGAGUCCGGAAGAGGAGAGUGGAAUUCCUGGUGUAGCGGUGAAAUGCGUUGAUAUCGGAAGGAACGCCGGUGGCGAAAGCGACGUGCUGGAUCUCUUCUGACGCUGAGGCGCGAAAGCCAGGGGAGCAAACGGG